AACGCAUUAUCAGUUCCCCCUCCUAACUGGGGAUGUUACAAGGUCCCAUGAAGAAUUUCAAGGGCUAAACUCUGAGGCUUUUGUUCAUAUAAACACAGCUUAGCAAAACAAUUACUGUUUUCUUUCUUUGUUCAGUAACUGCACAGUGCGGCUUGUACUCAGAUAUCUUCCUUUAAUCGAAAUAAUUUGGGUGUUCUACCCAAGGUUGUAGGAGAGGACGAUUCGCCUUACAACCUUGAAAUAUUUUCAUUUUCACUCCUCCAAGCACAGUUUUCUAGGCAAGAGCAUUUCAAACCAUUGUCAGAAUUCACAGGAAGAAAUAAAAGGGGGAAAGUCUCUCUGCUCCCCUGCCUACCCAGUCCCUCCUCCACCCCAACACACACACACACAAGAAAAGGGAAGAGGCAUCCAAGGUUCACAUGAUUCUCGUGCUUCAGCCUCCCAAGCAGCUGAGACUACAGGAACACACCACCACGCCAGGAGAAUUUCUGUAUUUUUUUAGUAGAGAUAAGGUUUCACUAUGUUGGCCAGGCUGUUCUCGAACUCCUGACCUCAAGUGAUCCGCCCGCCUUGGCUUCCUAAAGGGCUGGGAUUACAAAUGGGAGCCACCGUGCCUGGCCUGGUCUGAUGUUUUUCUGAGGCAUAAUUGAAAUUGAGGUUCAAGGAUAGUGCGUUGGGGCAGCAUUGCAUUGGGACCUUGUACUGGGGGCAGAGAGACUGAAUCAACCACUGAAUGGAAACUUGGAGAGAAAAGUAAGACGAAAAAAGAAGAAUAUUGAAUUUCCUUGAGCCUUCCUGCUCAAAGUGUGGUCCACUGGCCAGGAGCAUUGGCAUCUGCUGAGAGCUCGUUAGAAAUGCAUAACCUCAGGUCUCAACCCAAACCUACCGAAAAGGAACCUGCAUCUUGACAAAAUUCUAUGCACAAGACAAUGUGAGAAGUGCUGACCUGGGGUAUCACCUGGGAGCUUAGAAAAAUGACCUCCGCCUGUUUUCCAUCAUCAGGGCUUCCAGGUCAACUGGUCUGAGGCAGGGCCCAGGUCUGAGUAUGUUUUGGAAGCUCCUCAGGUGAUCUGAAUGAACACCCACAGUUGAGAACCAAUAGAAUACA
rnacentral:lncRNA from 1 species